rnacentral:rRNA from 1 species
UACGAAGGGGGCUAGCGUUGUUCGGAAUUACUGGGCGUAAAGGGCGCGUAGGCGGCCACGCACGUCCGUUGUGAAAUCGCCCGGCUCAACUGGGCGGGGUCAGCGGAUACGGUGUGGCUCGAGCAAGCUAGGGGGCAAUGGAAUUCCCGGUGUAGUGGUGGAAUGCGUAGAUAUCGGGAGGAACACCAGUGGCGAAGGCGGUUGCCUGGAGCUUUGCUGACGCUGAGGCGCGAAAGCGUGGGGAGCGAUCCGG